rnacentral:rRNA from 1 species
CGGUCCGGUACAAACCGGGAGGAAGGUGGGGAUGACGUCAAGUCCUCAUGGCCCUUAUGGGUAGGGCUUCACACGUCAUACAAUGGUCGGUACAGAGGGUUGCAACCCGCGAGGGGGAGCUAAUCCCACAAAGCCGAUCGUAGUCCGGAUCGCAGUCUGCAACUCGACUGCGUGAAGUCGGAAUCGCUAGUAAUCGUGGAUCAGCAUGUCACGGUGAAUACGUUCCCGGGUCUU